rnacentral:rRNA from 1 species
GAGUUUGAUCAUGGCUCAGAUUGAACGCUGGCGGCAGGCCUAACACAUGCAAGUCGAGCGGUAGAGAGAAGCUUGCUUCUCUUGAGAGCGGCGGACGGGUGAGUAAUGCCUAGGAAUCUGCCUGGUAGUGGGGGAUAACGCUCGGAAACGGACGCUAAUACCGCAUACGUCCUACGGGAGAAAGCAGGGGACCUUCGGGCCUUGCGCUAUCAGAUGAGCCUAGGUCGGAUUAGCUAGUUGGUGAGGUAAUGGCUCACCAAGGCGACGAUCCGUAACUGGUCUGAGAGGAUGAUCAGUCACACUGGAACUGAGACACGGUCCAGACUCCUACGGGAGGCAGCAGUGGGGAAUAUUGGACAAUGGGCGAAAGCCUGAUCCAGCCAUGCCGCGUGUGUGAAGAGGGUCUUCGGAUU